CAAACAUGCACUAAAUCCCAUCCACGUUCUGCAACAAUUGCCCUCACUCUUCAAUCCCCUUUCGAUCGCCAGACCCACAUUGAUGUCACCUCUACCCCACAUCUCUCGCCUUCCUUCCCUAACCCUAAUCGACCCUACGAUCAAUGGUCGAUUUAAGAGAUCCUAACGAUGAACAAAAAGCGUUUGGAACAUGAUGCGGAUCAAACUGUAGAAGGAUCCAAUGCAGGUUUGAAGUCAACGUCGUCGGUUUUAUUGAAGUUUCGUAUGGGGUUCACUGCAACGAUAAAUCAGAGAAUGUGGUGCGAUUUGAUUACCAGGGAUUUUGUGUCGUUGCUUGCUGUCCCUCCCAGUUAAAAUCCACAUGAUCUCACCCCUUUGUCUAGGUCUAACAGUUUCUUUUCUAAUCAAGUUGUUCCCUAAAUUAUGUUAAUUCGAUUGCUUAGUUGAAUUCUUUGUUUACAAUCUUGUUCAAUUUCCAUAUCAGAUUGUAGCCAUAAAGUUUGUAAUGUUGAGGGGAAUAUCAUUUAUGUUUAAGAAAAAUGUUGUUGUGACUGGUGAUGUUUUGAAGAAACAAUUGAGUCAACUACUUGUCUUAUAUGGGUUAUCGCAUUGCUAUUCAUUUAUAAGAACCUAUCAGGUAAUGUGUCAAAAGUAAGGUAGGUUGGGUUUGGCUAGCUGACCCACAGUCGUUAUCCGUUUAUGUGGACUUAUAAAUAUGUGAAUAUGGAUAAUUUGUACAAGUAGAAACGAGUCAGCUUGGGUUGGGUUAGGACUUACAAGUUACUGGAUGAUGAUGACAAGAAAGUGACGGACCUAGCAGCUCUGUUAAGUCUAAAAAGACCAAUAUACAUGUGGGAUCUUUCAGAAAAAAGAGUGAAACUCAAGAAGAUGAUGAGGGAGCUAUAAAUUUGAAAGAAGAAAGACAAGUGAAACAAAAAGUUACCCAUGAUGAAUAUGAUGGUUCUAAGGUAUUGAUGUAUCAUCAGUAAUGGCAAUUUUUUGGUCAAAUAUUACUUCCAAAGUUCCAUUCUUGUGACAUAAUGAAGAAGAAUAACUGGAUGACCAAACACAAGAGGAUCACAUAGAUGCCCUCCUUGACUAGGUACAUUUUACAUGCAUGUUAUAGUUACGGACUAUGGCCAAGAGUCAUGGGUUAGGUAAUGGGUCAAGACGGGGUUGGGUUGAACCGGGUCAUCAUGAGUAUGAGCCAAAACGCGUAGUCUGACCUUCAACUACCUUUUCUUUUAAUUUUCAUAAAUAAUGAAGGCGUAAAUUGUGA